UAACUGGAGAGUUUGAUCCUGGCUCAGAACGAACGCUGGCGGCGUGCCUAACACAUGCAAGUCGAACGAGAAACUCCUGCUUCGGCGGGGGGAGUAAAGUGGCGCACGGGUGAGUAACGCGUGGGUAACCUGCCCUUGAACCCGGGAUAACUUCGCGAAAGCGUUGCUAAUACCAGAUAUCGUCCCGAGGACUGCGGUUGUCGGGAUGAAAGGUGACCUCUUCAUGAAAGUUGCCGUUCAGGGAUGGGCCCGCGUACCAUUAGCUUGUUGGUGAGGUAAUGGCCCACCAAGGCUACGAUGGUUAGCUGGUCUGAGAGGAUGAUCAGCCACACUGGAACUGACACACGGUCCAGACUCCUAUGGGAGGCAGCAGUGAGGAAUUUUGCGCAAUGGGGGAAACCCUGACGCAGCAACGCCGCGUGAGUGAAGAAGGCCUUCGGGUCGUAAAGCUCUGUCAAGUGGGAAAAAAUUCCGUGAGUCAAUAGCUCACGGGACUGAUGGUACCACUGGAGGAAGCACCGGCUAACUCCGUGCCAGCAGCCGCGGUAAUACGGAGGGUGCAAGCGUUGUUCGGAUUUACUGGGCGUAAAGAGCGUGUAGGCGGGUUGGUAAGUCAGAUGUGAAAGCCCUGGGCUCAACCCAGGAAGUGCAUUUGAAACUGCCUUCCUUGAGUAUGGGAGAGGAGAGUGGAAUUCCCAGUGUAGAGGUGAAAUUCGUAGAUAUUGGGAGGAACACCCGUGGCGAAGGCGACUCUCUGGACCAAUACUGACGCUGAGACGCGAAAGCGUGGGGAGCAAACAGGAUUAGAUACCCUGGUAGUCCACGCCGUAAACGAUGAGAACUAGGUGUAGCGGGUAUUGACCCCUGCUGUGC
rnacentral:rRNA from 1 species